rnacentral:rRNA from 1 species
UACGUAGGCGGCCUUUUAAGUCAGGUGUGAAAGCGUGAGGCUUAACCUCAUUAAGCACUUGAAACUGGAAGGCUUGAGUGAAGGAGAGGAAAGUGGAAUUCCUAGUGUAGCGGUGGAAUGCAUAGAUAUUAGGAGGAACAUCAGCGGCGAAGGCGGCUUUCUGGACUGCAACUGACACUGAGGUACGAAAGCGUGGGGAGCAAACAGGA